UAUAUAUAUAUAACCACUUCCAUCCAGUUUUACACCUGUUGCCGUUUUGGAGCCCCUGCAGUGCACUUUACAACAUCUUCGCUUUUUGUGCUUAUUUGCUCCACAGAACGCCGGAACACAAAGUAGUGCCAUUAGUCGUAAAAGUGCUCAGUCCCAUGCCAAGUCCCCCGAUUUACUGUGUGAAGGAAACGUUUACUAGAAAAUACUCCUCUGGUUCAGUCAUCCGGCUCCUCGGCUCAGGACAGAGUGAGUGGAUUUGUGUGCGUGUAGAAUUGUCGUGUCACUCGCUGUACUUUGGCACGCGAGGACUCGGUGAGGGAGGCUGAUCACUCUAUUCAGAUGCAUCGCAUUGAAGAGGAGAAACAAAUAAAGUGGAUUUCAUUGAGGCAGUUUGCAUUCAAGACAUGAAGACAAACAAAGUUUAACCUUUCUAAUCUUUAGCUGCGUUUGCUUUGGAUCUUUUAUAACAUCAUCUUUCCUCCGUCUGUGCUCUCCUUCCAACGAUGUAUCACUUCAUUAGUCCGCUUUAUAAUAUAAAGGUGGUACUUUGUCACUUUAUUAUUCCGUCAUUGGGGUUUGAUUGGUUUUCUUACCGUGAACAAUACAGGUUCCUUAUAACGCUGAAACGCUGAUAUCCAUUCUGGUUAAAGCGCUCGUUUUUCUAAAGCCUCUUUGCUUGGAGCUGAAGAAUGGCUGCCGAUGAUGACGGCAAUUAAUGGCGUCUAAGAGGAGCCGUAAGCAAUGAUGCAGUGACUUAAUGUGCUUUCUUUUGCAGGAGCUACAGUGAGUGUGUCAGUCUGCAUGUGUGCCACAAUGGGCCAUUGUUCAGGGGGGGAAUGAAGGAUGACUUCUGCUGAGGCAACUUAUGUUCCCAUGCAGCACCUGAAUAUACAGCACGAACUUGAAGACGCACAGUCCAGUUAUGAACACGUUUGCACCCAGAAUGACACACACACACACACACACACACACACACACACACACACACACACACAGCGUGUGCACACGGACAGACAGAUACAACAGACAUGAUUUCAGGAUGAAAACUGGAUGUUGAGCAGCGUGUUUUCUUUGUUCAUUGAUGUGAAUCGUCUCAUUUUAAAACCAUCAAAAGAAAAAAGGUGUGUUCACAUCACAGACUCACUGGAUAUGAUGACUUAAAAUGUGCCUGAUAUCUAUAGCAAAAAUCCAGAAAAUCACUUUUUUUUUUGGAAAAGUAUUUUGCAGUUUAUUGCAUGACAUAAGUAUGUUGUAGUAUACGCAUAUUUACACAAUGCAUGAGUUCAGACUCAUAAAAAGCACAACCACUCUAAAAUAAGGCUCUGCAAGAGCUCUAGCACCGCGCGUGCUGCAUACACAUGAAUGCAGAGCGCUCAGAAAGAAGCCGACCACCUAUUGAUUUAUGGCUAUUUUGCAUAAGCAGCUUCUGCAACAAAGAGGCAAACACAGGGAUGACCCCCCCCCCCGGUGGCAUUAGAAGAAGGGUUCACGAGCUUGUGUGGCGCGAUGGAGACGCUCACAUGUGUGUGGAACCCCAACGCAACGUGUGGCGCCACCGCCAUUUUUGUCAAAUUCCAAUAUCAAGGAAAAUAUAUAGAUUUCUACAAAUGUAAAAUGAAAGGAAACUUUCAUUAAUUUGGAAAAGCGGUGUUGUGGCUGAUAAGGGGCGGGGGGGAGGGAGGUGGGGGGUUCCAUGUUCCAGGAGAGGGACCUCCUGAACUCCAAGUUCAGUGAAGAGGGUUUAUACUGACUGUACACAUUGUUUGUUUGAGAAUCUCACACACACACAACUUCUAUUUAUUUAAAUCAGCCACAUUUCACAACGAUGACCUGAGUGGAGCGAACUCAACGAGGUCCGUUAUAAACACGCCGUCUGGUGUCCAGGAAGUGGAGGAGAGUUUGUACACCGAGUGUCAGACGUGGCUGAUAAACAGAAGAAAGCCAUACUGUCCUUCGGUAAACAAAGGCUGCUAAACAAAUAGCAGAGUGCGUUAUUGUUACUCACAUUCGUGCUUCACACAUACACACGCAGUUUGAAAAGGCAGGAGCAGUAUUUAUUAGCAUGCCAAAUUAAAAGAUGGCACAAAGGAACAUAAAUGACUCUGCGCUCCAAUAGCUUAAUUGCUAAUCUCUUCUUUUAGGACGGUGUUUAUUUCAUUAGUCUCGUUUUAGCGCCGUCGCCAUCUCUCCCUGCUAAUUAACUUGUUUGGAUUGAACGUCUACCCCUCCGUGCCAGACAGCACGAACACCGCUGCAGGGAAAGUAAAGUGUAACAUUACUUCUUUUUCUCCAUGGACGUUCCUAUCCAGAACUUAUCUCCAUGUCUCUCAUCUCUCUGGACUACGCCAUCCGGUUCCCCGGAUCCGAUGAGACGCCAGAAGAAAGCCAGAAGAAAGCCAGUAGAAGGCCAGAAUGCGGUCAGUAGAAGGCCAAGAGAAGACAGGCCAGAAGAAGGCCAGUAGAAGGCCAGAAUGCGGUCAGUAGAAGGCCAGUAGAAGGCCAGGAGAAGGCGAGUAGAAGGCCAGUAGAAGGCCAGGAGGUUGCCAGUAGAAAGCCAGUAGGUGGCCAGUAGAAGGCCAGGAGGUUGCCAGCAGAAGGCCAGGAGGUGGCCAGCAGAAGGCCAGGAGGUGGCCAGCAGAAGGCCAGGAGGUGGCCAGUAGAAGGCCUUUCACUGGUACCCAAUUGCUCCAGUAUUUGCGAGAUGAAAGUCUGUGCUGAGAGAAGCAACAGGUGAACGGGUUUGAAGUGGAGAGAGAAGAACAGGGAGUGACAUGAAGACGUGGGACGUUCAAGGUGAUUUCUGGUCUGAACGUGGUGUAUGUAUGAAACAUGAUUUCUUCAUCUGGAUUCUCUGAGGGGGGGACGGGGGGAAGAGGGGUCACGUCGGCAGACUCAGGGGGCGAAGCCUGUUCGCUGCUUUGUGCGACUGUGCUGACCUGAUUGGCAGUGAAAUAAAAAAAGAACAAUUUCCCGAAAGGGGAAUAUAGAAAAGGGGGGGGGGGUUAUAGAAGAGAAGAGAAAGAGAGGCGGCGGCGAGCGAAAAGUAAAGACAGUGCGCGUUUUUGAUGCACGAGGUGCGAGCGGAAGCAGCGAGACGAAGAGGACGCAAACGCCAGCGAUGAGGGGGAGACCGGGUGUGAGUGGGGGAGGGGGGGGGGGGGUUCUGAACUACUGAACGCCCCUAUCUGGCUGUGUAGGCGGCCAUCUGCACGCCGGGCCCUGGACCCGUCUAAAUUCAGGACGAUUGCACGGUUUCUCAAAUCCUUCGGCGCUAAAAGCUUUUCGCAGCAGCAUCGCGGCCAACGGCAGAGCUCUUUGUCCAAUAGAACAUCUUCUACCUGGAGUUUCUUUUUCCGUGACACGUUGUCUUUCGUUGUGCGCGAUGCCGAAGGUCGGUCACAUUUCGGUUUGACAGUGGCGCUCUGAGAGCAGAAAUGGAUCCGCACCAUGCAGCAGAACCUACGGCCUCAUAGAGCUUCAAACAGAACAGCCAGCUCAUCCGAGGCGGGUUCGAGACAAGCCAAGGCUUUGGUGUUUGACCAUAAGAUCACCACAACCCCCCCCCCCCACGGCAUCAUGAUCAGGGAUACAGUUUAUUUUCUCACCAUUAAAAGAGCUUUUCACCGAAUCGAGGGGACCCGCUGGCAACCAGUGGGGCUACUGGGGUGAAAGGCGGUUUUAAAGAUACACGGCCAUAACCUGCCAAUGGCAACGGGAAUAUAGAGCUGAAGAGGAGCGCUGAACCCCGCGUGGCUUCCCAGGACGAUGUCCUGAUGUCGAGUAAGGUUCAUUCUUGUCCGCACAAUAGGUCACGGCAGAGGUUUAAACAUUGAGAGAACUGGGAAAGCUUCCAAAGGAAGGCGUUUAGAAGGCGUCCAAACCAGACGACCGAAUCACCUCCACUGACCCCUUUCACGGCGUAGGAGUAGUGGUUCUGCAAAGUUCUGCAUCCGUGAUCUUAUUUCCAAAAGUCGUAACUGUCAUCAUGGCUGGGGGACGGGUUGUACCAAUCGAGAGGUAGAUUAAGAGCUUUAACUCCCACGAGGGUCCGGUAUGAUAUCCCCUUCACUCCUGGCGCUGAACCAAUCCAAUCAAACAUCUGCCGCCAUUGUUUUCCGCACAAGGGGCGGCGGUGAAACGCGCUCAUUAUGGAUCCUCCACCUCCUCCAUUCCGCUAAUCCAUGCUUCAACUGGAGUUCUUACCUCGAGUGCAAACUGGCUAAACAUAGCGUAGCAUCUGGCGGCUCCGACCAGGUUCCAACAAUAAACCAGCUGUGCGUCAUCGACUCUCAUGGAAUCCUGUCAGAUCCUCACGUGGGUUUUGUGGACGAGGAGCCAGCCGGGAUCGAACCCCCGAAGAGGGCGGAGGGAGAUGUCGGUUUCUAAACUGCUACGUUUCUACGUCAGGAUGCAUGUUUUCUAAUUGGGCUACAAAUGUAAAAGUCACUUCUCCGCUGUGAUCUGCAGAUUCAUCUUUCAUCGCUUUAAUGUAUUUUAGCAGCUGCACCAGUUUGACUUUCUUCAUAUGCAAACUGCAGACCCAUCUGUCUCUCUUUGUUCCUGAAAGGAUAACACGUAUGCAGGGCGUGUAGUCUGCGGUAGUGGGGGGGGGGGGGGGGCCUUAUCGGAGGCUGCUACCAGGACGCGAACCUUCAAAGAGCAAAGGCAGGUUCUUGCACCG
ensembl:lncRNA